UCGCCUAACUAUCACGGACUUAACUAGUUUUGCCUAAGUCGUGUGGCACCCUUGCGUGUCCGUCCGCAAAGGUCAACCUCCCCAAAGCCUCCCAUGUCCCUUAGGACCCACAAAAGAGAGAACGGAUUAGAGAAAACGUCUCAUUCGGGAUCCACAUGCAAACAUCUCCGAAAACACUUCAUAGACAAUGCAAAUUACAAACAGAUUUAUAAGCUCUGAAUAGUUGCAUAAUAAAAGGGUAAAAUGGU
rnacentral:lncRNA from 1 species